UCUAAGGAAGGCAGCAGGCGCGUAAAUACCCAUCCUAACAUGGGGAGGUAGUGACAAUAAAUAACAAUACGGGGCCUUCAAGGUCCUGUAAUGGAAUGAGUACAAUCUAAAUCCCUUAACGAGGAUCAAUUGGAGGGCAAGUCUGGUGCCAGCAGCCGCGGUAACUCCAGCUCCAAUAGCGUAUAUUAACGUUGUUGCAGUUAAAAAGCUCGUAGUUGGAUUUCUGACAUGAGUGACCGGUCCGAGCCGCAAGGCUCGAGUACUUUAGGUUGUCUCUAGUCAUCCUUAUGGAGAGCGCGUUUUGUCAUUCAGUUGUCAGGCGCGGGACCCAUAUCGUUUACUGUGAAAAAAUUAGAGUGUUUAAAGCAGGCAAUUGCUGUGAAUACAUUAGCAUGGAAUAAUAAGAUAAGACUUGGGUGCUAUUUUGUUGGUUUGCCGCCAAAGUAAUGAUUAAGAGGGACAGUUGGGGGUAUUCGUAUUUAAUUGUCAGAGGUGAAAUUCUUUGGAUUUAUUGAAAAGACGAACUACUGCGAAAGCAUUUACCAAGGAUGUUUUCAUUAAUCAAGAACGAAAGUUAGGGGAUCGAAGAUGAUUAGAUACCAUCGUAGUCUUAACCAUAAACUAUGCCGACUAGGGAUUGGCGGACGUUAUUUAAACGAC
rnacentral:rRNA from 1 species